CAACCAUGAGGCGGCGGCCAUAUUGGACGUACGCAUGCCCAGCGGUGUUAGUCGACAAUUUCAUGGAACUAAAAACGGACACUUUCUCUCACGAACACCGCUGAAGCCACCGACCUCACUUCUUCUGUUCAUCCAGCAUAGACAACCCAAGGUAUUGCAAAUGGGGUAUGUCCAGUCUUUUUUAGUAGCCACUUAGUCACAAACACUGGC